CGGCCCAGACUCCUACGGGAGGCAGCAGUGGGGAAUAUUGCACAAUGGGCGCAAGCCUGAUGCAGCGACGCCGCGUGAGGGAUGACGGCCUUCGGGUUGUAAACCUCUGUUAGCAGGGAAGAAGAGAGAUUGACGGUACCUGCAGAGAAAGCGCCGGCUAACUACGUGCCAGCAGCCGCGGUAAUACGUAGGGCGCGAGCGUUGUCCGGAAUUAUUGGGCGUAAAGGGCUUGUAGGCGGUUGGUCGCGUCUGCCGUGAAAUCCUCUGGCUUAACUGGGGGCGUGCGGUGGGUACGGGCUGACUUGAGUGCGGUAGGGGAGACUGGAACUCCUGGUGUAGCGGUGGAAUGCGCAGAUAUCAGGAAGAACACCGGUGGCGAAGGCGGGUCUCUGGGCCGUUACUGACGCUGAGGAGCGAAAGCGUGGGGAGCGAACAGGAUUAGAUACCCUGGUAGUCCACGCCGUAAACGUUGGGCACUAGGUGUGAGGCUCCUUUCCGGGGGUUUUGCGCCGUAGCUAACGCAUUAAGUGCCCCGCCUGGGGAGUACGGCCGCAAGGCUAAAACUCAAAGGAAUUGACGGGGGCCCGCACAAGCAGCGGAGCAUGUGGUUUAAUUCGAAGCAACGCGAAGAACCUUACCAGGGCUUGACAUUUAGGUGAAGCGGCGGAAACGUCGUGGCCGAAAGGAGCCUAAACAGGUGGUGCAUGGCUGUCGUCAGCUCGUGUCGUGAGAUGUUAGGUUAAGUCCUGCAACGAGCGCAACCCUCGUCGUAUGUUGCCAGCGGUUAGGCCGGGCACCCAUACGAGACCGCCGGCGUCAAGCCGGAGGAAGGUGGGGACGACGUCAAGUCAUCAUGCCCCUUAUGUCCUGGGCUACACACGUGCUACAAUGGCCGGCACAAUGGGCUGCCAACCCGCGAGGGUGAGCGAAUCCCUAAAGCCGGUCCCAGUUCGGAUUGGAGGCUGCAACCCGCCUCCAUGAAGUCGGAGUUGCUAGUAAUCGCGGAUCAGCACGCCGCGGUGAAUGCGUUCCCGGGCCUUGUACACACCGCCCGUCACACCACCCGAGUCGAUUGCACCCGAAGUCGUCGGCCUAACCUUUUAGGAGGGAGACGCCGAAGGUGUGGUUGGUAAGGGGGGUGAAGUCGUAACAAGGUAGCCGUACCGGAAGGUGCGGCUGG
rnacentral:rRNA from 1 species